GCAAGUCGAACGAGAAGCUGGAGCUUGCUCCAGUGGAAAGUGGCAGACGGGUGAGUAACGCGUGGGAAUUUACCCAUUGGUACGGAAUAACUCAGGGAAACUUGUGCUAAUACCGUAUAAGCCCUUCGGGGGAAAGAUUUAUCGCCAAUGGAUGAGCCCGCGUUAGAUUAGUUUGUUGGUGGGGUAAUGGCCUACCAAGUCUACGAUGAGUAGCAGGUCUGAGAGGAUGAUC
rnacentral:rRNA from 1 species